rnacentral:misc_RNA from 1 species
GGAGGGAUCAUUAAGGCUAUCGCAAGGACUGCGGACUUGUCCGCGGUUCCAUCGUGCGCAGUUCAAGUCACCCCCCCUCAAAGGGGGAACGCUUACGUUUUAUCGCGAGCAUUGGGCGAAGACCUCGUGUCGUCGCCCGCUUCAUGUUAUCAAGGCGCGCUCCUUUCGGGGAGUCUGCCCUUUAACACCCAAUUAUGACCCUUAACGAUGGAUGUCUCGGGUUCAAGAUCGUUGAAGAGCGCAGCAAAGCGCGAUAUUCGAUGUGAUUUGCAGAACAUGUGAUGCAUCAGACUCUUGAACGCAUGUGCACUGCGGGUGCUCUGCAUCCGUAGUAUGUCUGACUGAGUGCUAACCGAUCACUUCGCAGUAACCUGCGCGUUGGCUGGGCAGUUGCCCCGCUUAAACAGUGGUCUGCGGGGCGUUUCCUCGUGUUCAAGUCCUCAUGACGGGUCUCUUGACGGAACCUUACCUAGGACUUGACGCAAACAUGGACUUACCCGCGGUUAAUCAGGGGCACGCUGGCCGAGUUGUAUGUGGACAGUACCGGAUCUGCACAGGGGCAUCGCCCCUUGAACAGCCAGAAGUCCGGGCUCCCCCCUCUGCGCUCGCGUAUUCCCCCCUACCUCACCCCCUUUAGCCUCAGUUCAGAUAGGACCAUCCGCUAGACUUAAGCAUAUUAUUCAGCGGAAGAGAAGAAAACAACCGUGAUUUCCCUAGUAACUGCGAGUGAAGAGGAACAAGACCAGGAUGAAUCGGGGGGGCCUUCUCCUUCCCCGAGUUGUGUCCUUUAGAUCGGCGUCGGUGCGCGAUUCCCCCUCAAGUUGGCUGGAAAGCCACGCCACAGAAGGUGACAGCCCUGUUGAAGGGGAAAGGUAACGCGUAUCAUCAGCCGCAUCAAAGAGUCGCGCUGUCUGGGAGUAUAGCGCAAAUCAGCAGGUAAGCCCCUGCUAAGUCUAAAUAUGGCUUGAACACCGAUAGCGAACAAGUACCACGAGGGAAAGAUGCAAAGAACUCUGAAAAGAGAGUUAAAAGUACCUGAAAUCGUUAAGGCGGAACCAGUGACAACACAGCCUGCGUGAUUUGGCCGAAUCACUGCGCCGCUGGUAACGAUGCGUCUUCCCUGGGGUGUCCACGGGCAUCUUGUAAGCGGGAGGCCGUCGAAGUCAGUUGCGUGGGCACUUUGGCCGAGUCCGUGCAUGAUCCCUGCGUGUUGGGCCUGUUAGACGGGAACGAUGCUGGUUUACCAGGUUAAGUCCCGCCGAAACACCCCGAUGCACUGGGAGGUUAGAGGGGCAGCCCUGCGCGACGCGCGGUCGCUCGCUGGUUGUGGCAGGUAAGCAUCCUAGAUGCUUGCUUGUCGCGGCUGGUGCGUGCGGCUGCGUUCGCUUGCCCCUAUUGAUUAUGCGAAGGAUUGCCACUGACCCGUCUUGAAACACGGACCAAGGAGUCUAACCUGCGCACGAGUUUAAGGGUGCCUAAACCCGCAAGCGGAGAGAAAUCGAGAGUAGCGAGACGCUGCUGACCACGGUCAGCGGCUGCAUCGCAGGCCCAGCCCGAGGUAAGUCCGAGGGUUUGGAGUCGGAGUGCGCAUGUUAGGACCCGAAAGAUUGCGAACUAUGCUUGCAUAGAGUGAAGCCAGGCGAAAGUCUGGUGGAGGCUCGUAGUCGUACUGACGUGAAAAUCGUUGAUCAAAUGUGAGUAUAGCGGCGAAAGACCAAUCGAGCAGUCUAGUAGCUGGUUCCUGC